rnacentral:rRNA from 1 species
GGAGGAUCCGAGCGUUAUCCGGAUUUAUUGGGUUUAAAGGGAGCGUAGAUGGAUGUUUAAGUCAGUUGUGAAAGUUUGCGGCUCAACCGUAAAAUUGCAGUUGAUACUGGAUGUCUUGAGUGCAGUUGAGGCAGGCGGAAUUCGUGGUGUAGCGGUGAAAUGCUUAGAUAUCACGAAGAACUCCGAUUGCGAAGGCAGCCCUGCUAAGCUGCAACUUGACAUUGAGGCCUCGAAAGUGGGGG